rnacentral:misc_RNA from 1 species
CAACCAUCAAGCCCCAGGCUUGUGUUGGGGUUCCUGCGGCUGCUGCAGGCCCUGAAAAAUAGUGGCGGGCUCGCUGUCCACUCCGAGCGCAGUAAUUUAUCUCGCUUUGGACGUGCAGCGGGUGCUUGCCGUUAAACGCGCCUAUUUUACAAAA